AUUGAACGCUGGCGGCGUGCUUAACACAUGCAAGUCGAGCGGUAACGCGGGGGCAACCCUGGCGACGAGCGGCGAACGGGUGCGUAAUACAUGGGAAUCUGCCCUGUAGUGGGGAAUAACCCGGCGAAAGCCGGGCUAAUGCCGCAUACGAUCUACGGAUGAAAGCGGGGGACCUUCGGGCCUCGCGCUAUUGGAUGAGCCCAUGUCGGAUUAGCUAGUUGGUGAGGUAACGGCUCACCAAGGCGACGACCCGUAGCUGGUCUGAGAGGACGGCCAGCCACACUGGGACUGAGACACGGCCCAGACUCCUACGGGAGGCAGCAGUGGGGAAUAUUGGACAAUGGGGGAAACCCUGAUCCAGCGACGCCGCGUGUGUGAAGAAGGCCUGCGGGUUGUAAAGCACUUUCGGUGGGAACGAAAUGUGCCGGGCUAACUACCCCGGCAGCUGACGUUACUCAAUGAAGAAGCACCGGCUAACUCUGUGCC
rnacentral:rRNA from 1 species